CCAGCAAGCCGCCGCUGUUGUAAAACUACAACUCCCACAAUGCCGUGCUGUAGGCUGACAGCUGUAGGCUGCUCGGACAUGCUGGGAGUUGUAGUUUUGCAACAGCUGGAGGGCCGCAGGUUGAGCAUGCCU